rnacentral:misc_RNA from 1 species
GUGGAAUUUGUUCAUCCUCUGAUACAAAAGAAUAUAUAUUAGUCAAAUUAAAUAAAAAAAAUGGUUCAAGAUGAGAAUGCAGAGAAACUGAAUGCACAGUGCAAGAUUGUAAAGUUCUAAGUGGAAGGGAAAAAAAAAUCAUUUUCUAGCCAUAAGCUUUCAGGAUAUAGCGUUGAAUACUUGAAUUUCCUCUCUUUUCUUUCCGACAAAUGACAAAGGUCAAAUCAUUAAAAAAGCAAAAAAAAAUCAUAACUUUGAGCCUAAUUUCAAUUAUAGUAAAUUCUUUUAAUUUUAUCAAAUUUGGCGAUGUACUAAUUUUGCAUUCACCCAGCCACAAAUUAUAACCAGUAAAAUGUUCAGCAGAUUGUAGAUAGCAAAAGUCUCAUUACUCCUAAACAUCAAGCCCAUAGGGAAGAAUAAACUGCGUCUUUCAUUUAUUCUCCUGCCAAACACCUAAAACCCAAAGAUCAGCAAUCUUCCUAAACAUAAAAAGAGGCGAGAACCAGGUAGCAGAAAUACCGGACAUGUCACCAGCUAUAAGAUUCGCAGGGGAUAUAUAUAUAUAUCACGUGAAUCCAGUAACUAAGGCAGUACACUGCAAAGUCCUAGAGUCUGCAACAAGUAAAUUUUUCCCUCACAAUUUGCCUUUGUUUAUUAAUCCAACAACUCAUUUGUAUCACUCAAUUAGCAUUAACAACCAAAUUUAACCACCAAAAAUCAAUCACUGAAAACUUCAUCUUCAAUACCCAGCAACUAAAUUUGAAGAAACCAGGCUCACACGUAGAUUCCUUCCAAGACAGGAAGGGGGUCAAACACAAAACCCUAAUUAUGCAUCAGUUCCACUAGAAUCCAAAAGGGUUUUUAAAAG